rnacentral:rRNA from 1 species
GACGAACCGUGCGAACGUUGUUCGGAAUCACUGGGCUUAAAGGGCGCGUAGGCGGUCCGCCGCGUCCGGGGUGAAAUCCUCCCGCUCAACGGGAGAACGGCCUCGGAUACGGGCGGGCUGGAGGGGGGUAGGGGCACGCGGAACUGUGGGUGGAGCGGUGAAAUGCGUUGAGAUCCACAGGAACUCCGGUGGCGAAGGCGGCGUGCUGGACCCCACCUGACGCUGAGGCGCGAAAGCGUGGGGAGCGAACAGG